ACCUCAACUUUACAUACU
rnacentral:miRNA from 1 species